UGAGCAAUAAGUGGAUGAAAAACCAAUUUUUGUUUCUGCUUGCAGAAAAACAAAAUUGGUUUUGAAGACACAAUGGACAUGAGGAAGUAGCACGAUAGUGCGGAUUCCGAAUGGCCGUAGGAUUGCGAGAGCGAAGCGGAGCAAUCCGUAUUGCUCA
rnacentral:sRNA from 1 species